UAGCUAGUUGGUGGGGUAAGGGCCUACCAAGGCGACGAUCGGUAGCUGGUCUGAGAGGAUGACCAGCCACACUGGAACUGAGACACGGUCCAGACUCCUACGGGAGGCAGCAGUGGGGAAUAUUGGACAAUGGGGGCAACCCUGAUCCAGCAAUGCCGCGUGUGUGAAGAAGGCCUGAGGGUUGUAAAGCACUUUCAGUGGGGAGGAGGGUUGAUAGGUUAAGAGCUAAUUAACUGGACGUUACCCACAGAAGAAGCACCGGCUAACUCCGUGCCAGCAGCCGCGGUAAUACGGAGGGUGCGAGCGUUAAUCGGAAUUACUGGGCGUAAAGGGUGCGUAGGUGGUUGAUUAAGUUAUCUGUGAAACUCCUGGGCUUAACCUGGGACGGUCAGAUAAUACUGGUUGACUCGAGUAUGGGAGAGGGUAGUGGAAUUUCCGGUGUAGCGGUGAAAUGCGUAGAGAUCGGAAGGAACACCAGUGGCGAAGGCGGCUACCUGGCCUAAUACUGACACUGAGGCACGAAAGCGUGGGGAGCAAACAGGAUUAGAUACCCUGGUAGUCCACGCUGUAAACGAUGUCAACUAGCUGUUGGUUAUAUGAAAAUAAUUAGUGGCGC
rnacentral:rRNA from 1 species